ensembl:snoRNA small nucleolar RNA SNORD70
AUGGCUGCUGUCUAUGAUUACACUUUGCUGACUGAAUUCAAUGUAGAUUUCUCAUCAGCAUUCGUCACUACCACUGAGACAGCAGCAGC